GGGGUGCUGGGGCGCGGGGGCGCGGCUCGGGGAGGGUUUGCGAAAGUAGCUGUCAGCCCCCGAUUUCCACCUCGGAAGACCUCACAGUGUGUUUUCUCUUACGUAGCACGUUGCAGGCUGGAGUUCUAAAACCUCCCUGGAGUAUAUGGAUUUUUUUCAACCUACUGCGGGGGCACCCCUCCAGAAGAUGAAGAGUUAUAUAAGAAAGCAAUAAAAAUAAACCCAUUUAUGGACACUGUACUAGGGCUUGCGAACAAGGACUUAUUUAAGCUCGGCAACCCUACUACGUGACAUCCCUAUUUUAAGAUCAGAAAACAGGCUCCAAGAGAUUUAACUUGGAUCCAGAAUUUAAUCUGGGGUUUGUCUGAUUCCUGCAACGAGAUGCCACGAAUGGAAGGACUCAAAGAACCUUCGAGGUCUCCUUCCAACUUCUCAUUUUACGGAUGCGGAAACUGCGGCCCAGAGGAGAGUGCUUGCUCGUGCUCAUAUGGCGAAGCCUGAACUACCCAGAAAAAAAGAAGCCUGAGCUAGAAGUCUUCAAAUGCCCAGCCCUCUUCCUGCAACACCAAGCCCCUUGGAAGGAGCUUUCUGUUGCGCUUUUUCCUUGGAGUUUUUCCUCCCUUUUUUGAAAAGUGAAGAGAAACACCCCGGUAACACCAACGCAGGCGAGCCAUGAUGGAAUGUGUUUUUAAAAAAAUCAUUUGGAGAAAACUCAUGAAACUCACCCUUUUCCCCAAGCUAUAUUGACCUCAGAUUCACCGGAGCUUCAGAAACCUGGACCUGCUAUUUCAUCAGAGACACAGAAAUCUAGCUCAGUCGUGUCACUGAAACACUAAGACCACGAUUUAUUUUUUUGGAGCCUCAGAAAAAUCUCUUUUGAACCUCAAGCACUUCUUGUUCUUACUCCUCCUGAGCUUUAAAAGAAGCCUCUGUUAAUGCCUCUGAAUCUCGAAAAUACCAGCAAAACAAAUAGAAGCUCUGCCCUGGGCCUCCUCCAAUAUUAUACACAUGAAGCUCUAUGUCUCCUGAGCCCUGAAGUUUGCCUUUAUUAAUUCCAAAUCCCAGAAACAUUUUUCUUUUCCCAUCAUCCUGAGUCAGCACGAUCAGUUCCAGCUACAGCAGGAGCCAUUUGAAACUAUAUUUCUGAAGUCUUAAAACCUUACCUAAAAAAAUUACUGUUAUGGAUUGAAUUGUGUCCCGCAAAAAUAUGUGUUGUAAAUUCCAAUCUCUAUGCCUUUGGUUAUACUUCCCUUUGGGAAUGUUUUAUGUUUUUAUGUUAAUGAGGCAGGAUUAGUGUAGGGUGUAUCUUGAGUCAAUCCCUUUUGAAAUAUAAAGAGAUUCAAUAAGCAAGCUAGUAAGGAGAGAUGAGGUAAGAUAGAUACCAAGACACAUGGAGACCUCCAAGGAACCAGGAAACAGAAGCUGAAGAGACAAGGACCUUCACCCAGAGCUGACAAAAGGAAAGCCUUCCCUUGGAGCUGGUGCCCUGAGUUCAGACUUAGCUUCCUAAACUGUGAGAAAAUAAAUUUCUGUUUGUUAAAGCCAUCCACUUGCAGUAUUUCUAUUCUAGCAGCCCAGACAACUAAGACAAUUACCAUUUAUUGAUUGUUUACUGUAUGCCAGGCACCAUCUGAGAUGUUUUACAUAUUUUUCUUAUUUAAAACUCACAACAGUCCUGUGAGAUAGGUAUUAUUCCCAUCGUAUACUUCAGAGAACGGUCUCAGAAAUUAAUGACAUCGCACGGUCACCCAGCUGGUAAAGGGUGAACUAGAAUUCAAAUCCUGGUUUGUUUGAUUCUAAAGCCUAGUUCCUUGCAUUCCUGUAUAUGGCUUGUAUUCUCUGAGCCUAGCAGGAGAGCCCAGGCUACAUCCUUGGAUCCUUUGAAUUCUGUGGCGCACAGUUCCCCAUGAUCUAAGAUUCCUAAAUGUGGCAGACAGAAUAAUGACUCCCCAAAGAUGUCCACAUCACAACCUCUGGAACCUGUGAAUAUGUCAAUUUACAUGGCAAAAGGGACUUUGUGGUUGUGAUUAAGUGAAGGCUCUUGAGAUGGGGAAAUUUUUUUUUUUUUUUAUUGGGGUGGCCCAGUGUAAU